rnacentral:rRNA from 1 species
AUUGGACGCUGGCGGCAGGCUUAACACAUGCAAGUCGAGCGGGGUGAUGGUGCUUGCACUAUCACUUAGCGGCGGACGGGUGAGUAAUGCUUAGGAAUCUGCCUAUUAGUGGGGGACAACAUCUCGAAAGGGAUGCUGAUACCGCAUACGUCCUACGGGAGAAAGCAGGGGAUCACUUGUGACCUUGCGCUAAUAGAUGAGCCUAAGUCGGAUUAGCUAGUUGGUGGGGUAAAGGCCUACCAAGGCGACGAUCUGUAGCGGGUCUGAGAGGAUGAUCCGCCACACUGGGACUGAGACACGGCCCAGGCUCCUACGGGAGGCAGCAGUGGGGAAUAUUGGACAAUGGGGGGAACCCUGAUCCAGCCAUGCCGCGUGUGUGAAGAAGGCCUUAUGGUUGUAAAGCACUUUAAGCGAGGAGGAGGCUCUUUUGGUUAAUACCCAAGAUGAGUGGACGUUACUCGCAGAAUAAGCACCGGCUAACUCUGUGCCAGCCGCCGCGGUAA